rnacentral:tRNA from 2 species
GGGCCGGUAGCGCAGCUGGUCGACGCACACCGUUCGCAUCGGUGGGGACGCCGGUUCGAAUCCGGCUCGGCUCC